ACCCGCUGAAUUUAAGCAUAUCAAUAAGCGGAGGAAAAGAAACCAACAGGGAUUGCCUUAGUAACGGCGAGUGAAGCGGCAAAAGCUCAAAUUUGAAAUCGGCCACCAGGUCGAGUUGUAAUUUGUAGAUUGUAUCUUGAGAGCGGAUUAAAGUCUGUUGGAACACAGCGCCUUAGAGGGUGACAGCCCCGUAAAAUCUAUUCUCAUUGUAAGAUACUUUCGAAGAGUCGAGUUGUUUGGGAAUGCAGCUCUAAGUGGGAGGUAAAUUCCUUCUAAAGCUAAAUAUUGACGAGAGACCGAUAGCGAACAAGUACUGUGAAGGAAAGAUGAAAAGCACUUUGAAAAGAGAGUGAAAAAGUACGUGAAAUUGUUAAAAGGGAAGGGUAUUGAAUCAGACUUGGUGCUGUUGUUCAACUGGGUCUCGGCAUAGUGUACUCAGCAGUACUAGGCCAAGGUGGGGUGUUUGGGAGUGAAAAAGAAGUUGGAAGGUAACUCUUCGGAGUGUUAUAGCCUACUUUCAUAGCUCCUCAGGCGCCUCAGGACUGCGCUUCGGCAAGGACCUUGGCAUAAUGAUUCUAUACCGCCCGUCUUGAAACACGGACCAAGAGA
rnacentral:rRNA from 1 species